rnacentral:lncRNA from 1 species
CGCACCCGGGAUCCGAACUGGCAAACCCCGGGCCGCCAGGAAGUGGUAGCUUCGGACUUAGCUGCUGUGCCACCGGGCCGGCCCCUAGAGUAGCCUUUUAAUGAACCAGAACUUGUUGCUCCCGCCCAGGCCCGCAGCAUCCGGGCCCUGCUGACCUCUUCGACUUUAUCUCCCCAUGCUCCUGCCUCCCCGUGGCCUUCUUUCUCCAUUGGGCACCCCCUGUGCUGACACACUGUGUGCUAGGCUGUGCUUUCAGCUGUCCAGCCAACCUGAACCCUCUUCCAGGAACCCCCAACUCUUGAUCUCCAUUAGUUCCUUCAAUCCUGUCAUCCUGAUUCCUUUUCUCAUGUUUUCUCUAGCGAAAUUACUUUUUAUUUACUUGCUUAAUAUGUCCCCAUGCCCCCAAGACCAUGUCUGUCUUGUGUAGCAUUGAAAUGAUGAGAAUCUAGAAACGAAUCUAACUCCUGGGCCCUGGACCUGACUCAAUUAUAUUUGUGAAAGGGGAAAAAACCCAUCUCAACCAACACCUGACAUAAAUGGCUCUUAGAAAAUGUGUCCCCUUCCUUUAUUCCCUUCUAAUCAGGUAAGAAUUCUUGAAAGAGGUGGCCCUUGAGGAAGGCUUUGGGACCACUGAGGGGCCAAACAGGAAUUCAUCUUGCUGGCCAAUGUGCCAUGCCGUGUGCCAUGAAGCAGCUGAGGUCGGGACUGAAGAGGCAGCACCCUGGUGCACUCCGACUGCAUGCCAAGUCUGAUGCCCAGUCCAGGGCUCUUGCCCCACUGGACCCCUCCUCCGUCCAGUGGGCCAGGCGUGGGGAGGGAAAAGCAAGGGCCCAGGGAAAGCCACAGGAUGGGGACGGGCAUGUGGCUGUGUGUUGCCCUUGUCUGGGUGCAGAAGACAACUGUUAGAAGGCUGUCCAUCCAGGCCAGGGGCCCCGAACCAUGCCUCCCUGCAGACAGCUAAAGGAGCUGUUCAGCCUCAAGAAGAGUGUAAGGAGAGACUGUGCUCUGACAUCUACACUGCAUUCCGGACCAGCCCUUUUUGCACCAGCUGCCCCUGCAAGAUUGAGAAAGCCUCCAAGUGGGUCUCCCUGUUGUCAGAUCUCCAAAGAGGCCCCAGUGAAUCCUGCCCACCCCUGCUGAAGCACUUGGGUGGCUUCCCAUCACAUUGAGAAUAAAAUCCAACUGUCUGCCCACAGCCCAGAAGGCCUGCUGUGGUCUGGGCCCUGCAGGCCUCGCUCCCCUUCGCUGCCUGCCUGCCAUGUCCACGCCUUGGACAGCUGAGCCCAAGCCCACGGCAGGCCCUUUGUGCUGCUGUUCCCUCUCUUUGCACUUUCACAGGCCCAGUCCCUUCUCGCCAAUCAACACUUAUCACUACGUGGAGUUUUUGCCUUUGUAUCCUAGUCUCUCCACCCCACCCUGAGGUGAGCUUGUCUGUCUUGUGUAUCACUGAAUCCUUUGUACCCGGCACACAGUAGAUACUCAGUAAACAUUUGUUUGAAUAAAUGAAAUAUGAAGGCC